ensembl:snRNA U4 U4 spliceosomal RNA
CUUUAAGUACAUUUUCAGCUUCAUGCAGCCAGUGAGGUUUUUCUGAGGUGUGAUUAUUGCUAAUUGAAAACUUCCCAAUACCCGGUGGUGAUGAUUUGCAAUACAGUUGGCAUUGGAAAAUUUCGACAAUCUCUACAGAU